GCCGAAGUGGCGGAACUGGCAGACGCGCACGGUUCAGGACCGUGUGGAUAAAACCGUGUGGGUUCGAGUCCCACCUUCGGCACCA
rnacentral:tRNA from 1 species